AAAAAUACCAUAGUUUCCUUGACUUUGGGCCUUUCAUGUGCAACUCAGGUGGAGGGCGAAGAAGGUCUCUUUCCAAGAGUGUUCAAGCCAUAAGUGAGAUACCACUCUAGAAUAUAUAAAAAUCUAAACUUGUGUCAAGACCUCUAGGCCAAGGGAUAAUCUCAAGUAGACAAUUUUUAUGGAGCACAGGCCUCCCAAGAGGUAACAAAGGCAUGCAAAUGUUUCCUAAGGUCAUAUGGAAAUUGGCUCUCAAGUGCAAAGGCAGAAAGGAGUUUGACUACAAGACCAACUUGUCACUCAAGGAUGAAGUCGACCUUGGUGAUCUAAUGGUGCUGAGUGGAAGGGUCAUUGCUCAAUGGAUAAAAGUUACUCUAGGGAUAACAAGUGUGAUCUUCCCCAAGAGAUCACUUUGACUAAAAGGUUUGACACCUCAAUGUCUACUCUAUACCAUCUAGGGUUGUAGUAUAUUCAAGGGUUAGGUUGUAUACCCCUUAAAGCGGUAUGUGAGUCAAGUUCAAAACGUUGCGAGACAAUUUAGUC
rnacentral:ncRNA from 1 species